rnacentral:rRNA from 1 species
UACGGGGGGGGUAAGCGUUGUUCGGAAUUACUGGGCGUAAAGAGCUCGUAGGCGGCCAACUAAGUCAGACGUGAAAUCCCUCAGCUUAACUGGGGAACUGCGUCUGAUACUGGAUGGCUUGGAUUCGGGAGAGGAAUGCGGAAUUCCAGGUGUAGCGGUGAAAUGCGUAGAUAUCGUAAGGAAGACCAGUGGCGAAGGCGGGUCUCUGGACAGUUCCUGACGCUGAGGCACGAAGGCCAGGGGAGCAAACGGG